CCGGUCUCCCUCAGCCUCUCUGCGGCGGUGGCGUCUCGCGGACCCGUGCCCGGCUGCCCGGGGCCAGCGCACCGGCUCUGCCAAGCGCCGCAGCCCAGCCCGGAGGCCCAGGGCGGCCGGGGUAACCUCGCUCCUGAUGCCCGCCUCGGGCAGACAGCCCCCACCCUCACCCCGCAAUGUGGGUCGGUCUUGUGCAGCUGGGUCGUCUCUGCAGGCGGAGUUGUUUUCCCGCUUGGCACCGUGCUGUCCGCUUGUGCUUAACUAACCAGUAAAAGUGCUGCAGAGUCAGCGGUGAGGUUAGGUGGAAACGUCCAGGCCGGGGCGGUGAGCUCUCUUCCCGACGUGUGACCCUUUGGGCCUGAUGUGUAUGACACCGAGAUUUGAUUCAGGCAUCUUCACGUCCGUUUCGCCCGUGCCUUAGCCCCUGUUGAGUUCCCUGCUGUGUAGGAUGCCAGAACUGGAGACUCUGGAGAUCAUGAAGUUGGUGAAUUGCCCCGAGGCCUUCCCCCCGGACAUGAGGUGCAUCAUGGGCGAGUCCCCUUCAGUGCGGGGCUACUUCAUCCUGGCGGGAAUGAACUCUGCUGGCCUUUCGUUUGGUUGGAGGAGCUAGUAAAGUUGACCAGAGAGUAAAGUGUUAGCUGCACGGCUGGAAGACCCUUCACUGAAACGAGCUGCAGGAGCUUUCGACCCUACACCCAUCUGUUGAAGGUACUUUUGUCUCCACCCACCAUGUGACACUCUGGAGUGUAAGGCACUAGAACCUGGCUUGGAGGAAAGAGGUGCCCCAAGCUCCAGUUCUUGGUGUGCAAAGGAAAUACUGGCAUAGAUCCACUGAAACAGAUGCUAAAAGUAUCCUCUCCACUUCUUACAAUUUCUGUCCUUGAGAGACAGAAAAAUGAGAAGGCAGAAAGUCUGCAAAGGAUAAAAAUAGGUGUAUCUAAAUAUCAUGAGAAAAAUGGCCCAUGAAGAAAUGUGUAAUUCCCCAAGGGUUCUGCUCAGAGAAGUCACGAAUCAUACACAAGGAACAACUCUGGUGUUUAACGGAUAAAAGAGAAGGCAAAGACUUACAAAAAUAGUUCUCUUGAAAAAUAGUAUUUGUCAUGGUAAGGGACUGCAUCUGCCAGCCCCGUGAUGACAAUGAAGGAGCCUUACAACUAACGGAGCACCUUAACGUGGAGGGCGGUGGCAGUGGGUGUGGGGAGCGGCUCUGAUGCGUGGCUCCCUAGCUCCCUCACGACUCACUGCAGGACGAGGCUACUGCCUAUUAUUUCAUCUGCCGUCUCUUCCACUCAACUGUGCUGCUCCUGAGUCCAUGUGCCUGCACAUGACAUGUGCCAGAUGAAAAUUCCUUACUCGUGAGAAACUUUUCCCUACCUCCUGUUGAUAAAAUGCUGCUUAUAUCAAAGUUUGUGAGGGAUGGGGUGUGUGUGUGUGUGUGUGUGUGCGUGCGUGCAGAAAGAAAAUGAACACAGUAGGUUAUACUUCAGGAUUGAGCACUGUUGACCAAAUCUCUAUCUAUCUUAGAUACUAAAUAUACUUAGAUCCUUGCUGUGUACACUGGCCACGAGGCAACAAAGAUAUAAAAAGGAACUUGUUGUUAAUGCCUGGAAGCCAGCCAAUGCAGUUGUUUUACAGAGGCAGAAAUCAAGGCCGGAGGGGUCACCUCUCCAGUGAAGCAAAAUCACUUUAGGAACCUCCUAGCAUUCCUGCCACAUACACGGUGGCAGUGGGGAGGGGUUAAAGUCGCAAAUGCAUGCAAAGGCAGGAUAAAGCAGAAAGCUGAAGAGUUAUUUUUCACAUUGAGUUACUUUCUUGGAAACAACAGCCUAGGAAAGAAGAGAUACAGCUAAAACUCUUGGUCUGUACGAGGAGGUAGAAUCCAGGGACAGCAUACCUCCUGAUGAGAAUCAAACAAGUGACCUGGUGCUACUCCUGCAGAAAUGGGAACUUUGGGGCCAAAGUGAGACUGGGGUUAAUCACUGGGCUAAAUGGCAUCUCUUGCAUUUGGGGGUACAGGGACUCUUCAGAAAAGCACUAGAAUGUAGGGGGAACCGUUCAGUUUUCUCUCCUGGAGCAUGUCCUGCCCAUGCAGUGCUAUGUGACCAAAACACAAGUUAAAGGACAUCAAAUUGUGCUAUCCAAGCAGGUAGGUCUUGUCCGUCCCUUUUUGCUCUAAGAACUUUCUGAAUUAGAGCUUUUAUCACAGACAAGAAAUUUUCAAUGUCAGUCACAUGACCAUGGGAUUUACAUGUGGCACAAGUAGCUAGGGGCUUAUCUCAAGAGAGGAGAAGGCUCACAGGAGACUUGCAACCUUGAUUCUCCAUCUGUUUGAAGCCAACACACUUGGUGUUUCUAGGUUCAAAAUGAUUCUUCAAUUGCAUAUGCUGAGAAGAUUGUGGAGCCCCUCUCCCAAUACAGCACAAGUGGUGAUAACAGAUCAUUUCAGAGAGAAGAAAAAAGUACCAACCACCUAAAACAAGAGUCCAGCUACUCCUUGAACAAUCCCUCCAAUCUCCAGGGAGAGGUGAGUUGUCACAGAGAGCAAACACAUGCGGUCCCAGUGUCCAAGUCGGGGAUGACACAGAAAUGAAGAUGUUUUGAUUUCAACUAUGUUUGAGGCAGGAAGGAGUCACCCCCUUCCCUUUAGAGAAAUCUAGCAGAUUCAUAUUGCCUAUAUUUGAAUGAACCAAAGGAGACUUGAAGGAUGAAUUGUAAAGUGCUGGAAGAUAAAUAUGUAAGUUUCAGGGCACUCAAUAAGCAAGUGAUUCCCCCCAGAUUCUUAGAAGUGUCACCCCUAUUGAUGGACAAGAUGUAAUUUAUGCAUAAAUCUAGAUUGGAUUCCAUCUCAAAUAACUUUCCAUUUAUAAAGACGACUUUGCAGUGGUGUGCAUGGGAUACCUUUAGUUCUACAUCUGUUUCCAUCUUCUUGGGUCAGUUGGCUCCCUGCUGGUAACACCUGCAUUGUCCGGUGCCAGUUUCCUGCUCUCCAGCUGGGCAGCACCUCUCCUCUUUGCCUAGAAGCAGCAUCUCUCAGCUAGUUAAAUUCACACUUGCCCCAAAAUACCAAGGCCCCCCGACAGAAUUCUAAUCACAUACCCCCCUCAUUAAAUCAAUGAAGACCUCGUAAGAAGGUGGACACUAAAGUCAGUGAUCAAGUGGGUAAACAGAAAUCCCAGAGAAACACCAGAGCAGGCAGACACCUGAGAAUUGUAAGCUGCUCUAAUGAAAUGAAAGGAUUGUCUCUAAUAUACUUAUAGACCUAUCAGAACUAAUGCAUCCAAGAUACCAAGAUAACAAAGGCUAUGAUUAAUUAAAAUCUCUAGCGUCUGUUUGCAAGGGGAAAUUAAGCGUGGGGAUGGAUACCACAGUCUGUGCGAUCCAAGUUCCACCCUUAGAAAACAGAGACACUGCUUAAAGGUGUGCAGGGCACUCUUACCCCAAGUUACCUUCUAUGCCAGCAGAUGUGGAGAGAUGUCUGGAAAGCAGACCUUGGGCUCAGGUAACAUAUGCUCUCCACACCGGGAACUCUCAAGGGACCCAAGUGGGUCAUCUCUGUGUGGAUCUGUGUCUUUUGUGCAGGGGAAGAACCCUGGGGGUCGCAGCAGCUCUCUUCAACUCAGCGUGGCCACAAGGUUUAGUUACUCAGCCAAGAUGCUUGUCCUGCCUCCCCCGUCCUCUUCUAAGGGAGAGAGCAUGCACUGAGCCAGUGGGCCUCCUGUGGAAGGGACACAUGAGGCUGAACUGAAAGUCACAUGCGCUCGGAGAAGAGGAACGUCAAGGUGGGGUGACUGAACUGUGAGUAGCUGAAAGAAAAGCAGCACUGUUUCAUAGAAAACUCAGCAUCGCUGGAGCUUAGUUUGAGGUCAGACCCUUUCAGCUAGGAAAAGCAACACUAAAGGCAACACGGUCUUUCCCUUUCAAACACUGUGGCUUAUUUGUUUAGUCGGUUAAAUAAACCACAACCCCCCUCAUUAUAGAGAUUAGCAAGAGAUGAAGAAAAUUAUAGGCAGGUGGCCCCAGCCCAACAGUCUGAUAACUGGGUCAGUAGGGAGGCCCAGGAUGGUUAACUACUUAUACGUGCUAAACCCCACGUAACGCCCACACGAUGCCUCUCAUCAGCGAGGUAGAUGGUCAUCCUCCUGCCAGAGGUAUCACGGUGCCGGCCCACAGCACAAAGGAAUGGGAGAAGGACCUGCCUGGCUAAAAGGCGUAAGCUAUUCCACACGGCUGUAUCACACAGACAGCAGCUAGCCAGAAUUCACAGGUCACUCCAAGAAAACUUAGCCCCAUGGAGAUGGACUCUUACCCUGAGGCCUGCACACCACAAGCCUCCCUUGCUUCAA